AAAAAAAAUUUUAUGAUUUAAAUAAUUUAUUUAAAGUUUAUUUUACAUAUAAAUUUUAGUGUUAAAUUGUAAUUUAUUUUAAUAAAAAUUAUAUUGAAUAUAUAGUAAUUAAUAUUAAAUAAUUUAAGAAAUUAAGAUUUAGUAAUAUUAAAAUUAAUAACAAAUUUUGUGCCAGCAGUUGCGGUUAAACAAAAAAUUAAAUUAAAUUUUAUUAGUAAUUAAUAAGUAAUAAUUAAAUUUAAUAAAAAUUUUAAAUUAUUAGGUGAAAUUUUAAUUUAUAAAAAUAUUAAAUAAUAUUUAUGAUUUAAUAAAUUUUAAUAAAAACUAGGAUUAGAUACCCUAUUAUCAAAAUUUAAAUAAAAAUACUAAAAUAGUAAAUAAUUAUUUAUUGAAACUUAAAUAAAUUGGCGGUAUUUUAGUUCAUUUAGAGGAAUCUGUUUAUUAAUUGAUAAUCCACGAAUAAGUUUACUUAAUUUAUAAUUUUGUAUAUCGUUGUUAAAAAAAUAUUUUUAAAUAAAAAUAAUAUUUUAAAAUUAUAAAUUUAAAUUAAAUCAGAUCAAGAUGCAGAUUAUAAUUAAGAAUAUAAUGGAUUACAAUAAAUUUAUUUAAAUGGAUAAUAAUUUGGAAAAAUUAUUUUAAAGUGGAUUUAAAUGUAAUUUUAUUUAAUUUAAUAAAAUGAUUAAUAAUUAAAAUAUGUACAUAUUGCCCGUCGCUUUCAUAUAAUUAUAAAUUGAAAUAAGUCGUAACAAAGUAGAGGUACUGGAAAGUGUUUCUAGAAAGA
rnacentral:ncRNA from 1 species